GAUGAACGCUGGCGGCGUGCUUAACACAUGCAAGUCGAACGAACAGACGAUGAUCUUGUUCCUUGCACGUUAGCGGCGCACGGGUGAGUAACGUGUGGAAAACGCACUUAUCAUUCUGGUAACAUUACGGAAAACGGGCGCUUAUCCCGGAUAAUAUAUUGAUCCACGUGGUUCGAUGGUGAAAGACGGCUGUUCUGUAUCGUCUAGCUGCAUCCGCGCCGCAUUAGCUAGUUGGUAAGGUAACGGCUUACCAAGGCGACGAUGCGUAGACGACCUGCGGGGGUGAUCGGCCACACUGGAACUGAGACACGGUCCAGACUCCUACGGGAGGCAGCAGUAGGGAAUCUUCCGCAAUGGGCGAAAGCCUGACGGAGCAACGCCGCGUGAGUGAUGAAGGUCUUCGGAUCGUAAAACUCUGUUAUUAGGGAAGAACAAAUGUGUAAGUAACUAUGCACGUCUUGACGGUACCUAAUCAGAAAGCCACGGCUAACUACGUG
rnacentral:rRNA from 1 species